UUAUGAAGUUCUGACAUCGUCGGAAACCACAACCAAUCGCGACCGCAGUUCAAGGAUGUGUAUCAGAGGCUUUGAAAGAACAGAGAGACCCCAUCUCCUGUCGUCCCCCCUUCAUCCACACACAGAACAAACCCUGUGCUGCUGUUGCAAGCUGGCUGCAGACAUCCCAACGACCAAAAGAGGCGCUGCCGUGCAAAAAAAGUUUUACACCAUUUUUCAGGAACCAAAACAACUGACUACAGAAC